rnacentral:rRNA from 1 species
CCUACGGGAGGCAGCAGUGGGGAAUAUUGCACAAUGGGGGAAACCCUGAUGCAGCGACGCCGCGUGAGUGAAGAAGUAUGUCGGUAUGUAACGCUCUAUUAGCAGGGAAGAAAAUGACGGUACCUGAUUAAGAAGUCCCGGCUAACUACGUGCCAGCAUCCGCGGUAAUACGGAGGGCGCAAGCGUUAUCCGGAUUUACUGGGUGUAAAGGGAGCGUAGACGGCAGCACAAGUCUGGAGUGAAAUGCCGGGGCUUAACCCCGGUACUGCGUUGGAAACUGUGCAGCUAGAGUGCAGGAGAGGUAAGUGGAAUUCGUAGUGUAGCGGGGAAAUGCUUAGAUAUUAGGAGGAACACCAGUGGCGAAGGCGGCUUACUGGCCUGUAACUGACGCUGAGGCUCGAAAGCGUGGGGAGCAAACAGGAUUAGAUACCCUAGUAGUC